GUAUUUUCGCUUGGGGAAUCCCAUGGACAGAGAAGCCUGGUGGGCUACAGUUCAUGGGAUUGCAAAGAGCUGGACACGACUGAGUGACUAAGCAUAUUGGGUGUGGAGUAGAGGGACAAAGACUGCCUAACUUGGAGGUCAUCACUUGAGCGCGCGGUGUUUCCUUGCUUAAAGAUGAGCAGACAGUAAAUGGACCAAAGACAUGGAAGUUUGGGUGGCGUUGAACAAGCCUCAGGAGCUCCUAUUUCACAGAUCCUACUUCCUUGGGCAGAGCAGCCCCGGUAUCAGGCAGACUUUACCAGGUGUGACCGUCAAAUAAAGGGAUGGCAUAAAGCAUUUUGUUAACUCGAGUUAUUCUUUCAGGUAUCCAGGCUACAAGUAGGUCAGGGUUUCCCGUUUCUCUCUAGGCUGUAGGUAGUCAAUGUCUUAGUAAUUACUGAGUCAUGUUGAUCAAAGUUCAGCUGAAACUUUCCUAAUGACUAAGCAUACACAGCCUUGCCAGAGGACGGAGCCCGUGUGUUCAUACAAAAUGUCGGCCUUUUUCCUAAGCAGAACUUCAGAACUGUCUGUUCCCACCAUUUGCAAUCUCUCUUCUCCCUGAAACCCACACCAGUCAAGACUUCACCACCACUCCACCAAAACUGCUCAAAUCACCAAGGACUUCACAUGGCUCAGCUCCAUCAGGCAGUGCACGGACCUCAUCUGAUGGCUCUCUCAGCACCUUUUCUCUCUGUGUGUGCCUGCAGGGUCCACAGCACACUGUGCUCCUAAAGAAUGGACGAGUUCUGGUUUGAUGAAAUUCAAUGUGUGGGAUAUGAACGAACCAAUAGACAAAAGUAUGUCUUAUAGCUA